GCUUGUCUCAAAGAUUAAGCCAUGCAUGUCUAAGUAUAAACUGCUUUAUACUGUGAAACUGCGAAUGGCUCAUUAAAUCAGUUAUAGUUUAUUUGAUGGUACUUACUUACUCGGAUAACCGUAGUAAUUCUAGAGCUAAUACAUGCAUCAAACCCCGACUCACGAAGGGGUGUAUUUAUUAGAUGGAAACCAAUGCGGGGCAACCCGGAUUAUGGUGAUUCAUAAUAACUUUCAGAUCGAUCGCAAGAUCGAUGCAUCAUUCAAGUUUCUGCCCUAUCAGCUUUGGAUGGUAGGGUAUUGGCCUACCAUGGCUUUAACGGGUAACGGAGAAUUAGGGUUCGAUUCCGGAGAGGGAGCCUGAGAAACGGCUACCACAUCCAAGGAAGGCAGCAGG
rnacentral:rRNA from 1 species